UCCUCGAUAGCUCAAUGGUAGAGCAAUCGGCUGUUAACCGAUGUGUUACAGGUUCGAGUCCUGUUCGAGGAGCCA
rnacentral:tRNA from 1 species